rnacentral:rRNA from 1 species
GACGAACGCUGGCGGCGUGCUUAACACAUGCAAGUCGAACGAAGUGGCGCACGGGUGAGUAACGCGUAAUCAACCUGCCCUUCAGAGGGUGACAACAGUUGGAAACGACUGCUAAUACCGCAUACUGAAGGAGGGGAUUGCGUCUGAUUUGCUAGUUGGAGGGGUAACGGCCCACCAAGGCGAUGAUCAGUAGGCGGUCUGAAGAGGUGGACGGCCACCUUGGGACCGAGACACCGCCCCAACUCCUACGGGAGGCAGGCAUGGGGAAACAUCCGCAAUGGAGGGAAGUCUGACGGAGCAACGCCGCGUGAGUGAUGGCGGGCUUCGGGUUGUAAAACUCUGUUAAUCGGGACGCGGUACCCGAAUAGAAAGCAACGGCUAACUACGUGCCAGCAGCCGCGGUAAUUC